AGGACGAACGCUGGCGGCGUGCCUAAUACAUGCAAGUCGAACGCACUGACGUCGACAGAAGGUGCUUGCACUGGAAGUUGAUUGACGUGAGUGGCGGACGGGUGAGUAACACGUGGGUAACCUGCCCUUAAGCGGGGGAUAACAUUUGGAAACAGAUGCUAAUACCGCAUAAAAGUUGAGAUCACAUGGUCUUAAUUUGAAAGACGGCCUUUGGCUGUCACUUAAGGAUGGACCCGCGGCGUAUUAGCUAGUUGGUGAGAUAAUAGCCCACCAAGGCGAUGAUACGUAGCCGACCUGAGAGGGUAAUCGGCCACAUUGGGACUGAGACACGGCCCAAACUCCUACGGGAGGCAGCAGUAGGGAAUCUUCCACAAUGGACCAAAGUCUGAUGGAGCAACGCCGCGUGAGUGAAAAAGGUUUUCGGAUCGUAAAACUUUGUUGUGGAGAAAGAAACAGGGACUAGAGUAACUGUUAGUCCUUUGACGGUAUCCAACCAGAAAGCCACGGCUAACUACGUGCCAGCAGCCGCGGUAAUACGUAGGUGGCAAGCGUUGUCCGGAUUUAUUGGGCGUAAAGCGAGCGCAGGCGGUUUCUUAAGUCUGAUGUGAAAGCCUUCGGCUUAACCGAAGAAGUGCAUCAGAUACUGGGAAACUUGAGUGCAGAAGAGGAAAGUGGAACUCCAUGUGUAGCGGUGAAAUGCGUAGAUAUAUGGAAGAACACCAGUGGCGAAGGCGGCUUUCUGGUCUGUAACUGACGCUGAGGCUCGAAAGUAUGGGGAGCGAACAGGAUUAGAUACCCUGGUAGUCCAUACCGUAAACGAUGAAUGCUAAGUGUUGGAGGGUUUCCGCCCUUCAGUGCUGCAGCUAACGCAUUAAGCAUUCCGCCUGGGGAGUACGAACGCAAGGUUGAAACUCAAAGGAAUUGACGGGGGCCCGCACAAGCGGUGGAGCAUGUGGUUUAAUUCGAAGCUACGCGAAGAACCUUACCAGGUCUUGACAUCUAGCGCCAAUCCUAGAGAUGGGACGUUCCCUUCGGGGACGCUAAGACAGGUGGUGCAUGGUUGUCGUCAGCUCGUGUCGUGAGAUGUUGGGUUAAGUCCCGCAACGAGCGCAACCCUUAUGAUUAGUUGCCAGCAUUUAGUUGGGCACUCUAAUCAGACUGCCGGUGACAAACC
rnacentral:rRNA from 1 species